rnacentral:rRNA from 1 species
AGCAGCCGCGGUAAUUCCAGCUCCAAUAGCGUAUAUUAAAGUUGUUGCAGUUAAAAAGCUCGUAGUUGAAUUUCGGGGUUAGUAGGUUGGUCAUGCCUCUGGUAUGUACUGGUCUCACUGAUUCCUCCUUCCUGAUGAACCUUAAUGCCAUUUAUUUGGUGUUUUGGGGAAUUUGGACUGUUACUUUGAAAAAAUUAGAGUGUUUAAAGCAAGCUAACGCUUGAAUACAUUAGCAUGGAAUAAUGAAAUAGGACGUUCGAUCCUAUUUUGUUGGUUUCUAGGAUUGACGUAAUGAUUAAUAGGGAUAGUUGGGGGCAUUAGUAUUCAAUUGUCAGAGGUGAAAUUCUUGGAUUUAUUGAAGACUAACUACUGCGAAAGCAUUUGCCAAGGAUGUUUUCAUUAAUCAAGAACGAAAGUUAGGGGAUCGAAGACGAUCAGAUACCGUCGUAGUCUUAACCAUAAACUAUGCCGACUAGGGAUCGGAUGAUGUUAAUUUUUAAUGUACUCAUUCGGCGCCUUA